GAUGAAGAACGUAGCGAAAUGCGAUAAGUAAUGUGAAUUGCAGAAUUCAGUGAAUCAUCGAAUCUUUGAACGCACAUUGCGCCCGCCAGUAUUCUGGCGGGCAUGCCUGUCUGAGCGUCAUUUCAACCCUCAUGCCCCUAGGGCGUGGUGUUGGGGAUCGGCCAAAGCCCGCGAGGGACGGCCGGCCCCUAAAUCUAGUGGCGGACCCGUCGUGGCCUCCUCUGCGAAGUAGUGAUAUUCCGCAUCGGAGGGCGACGAGCCCCUGCCGUUAAACCCCCAACUUUCCAAGGUUGACCUCAGAUCAGGUAGGAAUACCCGCUGAACUUAAGCAUAUCAAUAAGCGGAGGA
rnacentral:misc_RNA from 1 species